CGGGGGCAACCCUGGUGGCGAGUGGCGGACGGGUGAGUAAUACAUCGGAACGUGCCCUGAAGUGGGGGAUAACGCAGCGAAACGUACGCUAAUACCGCAUAUUCUGUGAGCAGGAAAGCAGGGGAUCGCAAGACCUUCGCUUUGGGAGCGGCCGAUGUCGGAUUAGCUAGUUGGUGGGGUAAUGGCCUACCAAGGCGACGAUCCGUAGCGGGUCUGAGAGGAUGAUCCGCCACACUGGGACUGAGACACGGCCCAGACUCUACGGGAGGCAGCAGUGGGGAAUUUUGGACAAUGGGCGGAAGCCUGAUCCAGCCAUGCCGCGUGAGUGAAGAAGGCCUUCGGGUUGUAAAGCUCUUUCGGCGGGGAAGAAAUUGCUUGGGUUAAUACCCUGAGUAGAUGACGGUACCCGAA
rnacentral:rRNA from 1 species